UUCGCAAUGCCCGAAAGGGUGACGAAGCGACGCCGCGUGGGUGAGGAAGGCCCUCGGGUUGUAAGGCCCUGUCAGGAGUUAAGAAAUGUAGAUACGCUAAUAUCGUAUCUAUUUGACAAAGGCUCCAAAGGAAGCCACGGCUAACUCUGUGCCAGCAGCCGCGGUAAUACAGAGGUGGCAAGCGUUGUUCGGAAUUAUUGGGCGUAAAGAGCACGUAGGUGGAUUUGUAAGUCAGAUGUGAAAGCCUUCUGUUCAAAGGAAGAACGGCAUCUGAAACUGCGGAUCUUGAGUGUAGGAGGGGAGAGUGGAACUUCUGGUGGAGCGGUGAAAUGCGUAGAUAUCAGAAGGAACGUCGGCGGCGAAAGCGACUCUCUGGCCUAUUACUGACACUGAGUGUGCGAAAGUUAGGGGAGCAAACGGGAUUAGAUACCCCGGUAGUCCUAACCGUAAACGAUGGGCACUAAGUAGAGGGGUUUU
rnacentral:rRNA from 1 species